rnacentral:rRNA from 1 species
AGUGGGGAAUAUUGGACAAUGGGCGAAAGCCUGAUCCAGCCAUGCCGCGUGAGUGAUGAAGGCCCUAGGGUUGUAAAGCUCUUUCAACGGUGAAGAUAAUGACGGUAACCGUAGAAGAAGCCCCGGCUAACUUCGUGCCAGCAGCCGCGGUAAUACGAAGGGGGCUAGCGUUGUUCGGAAUUACUGGGCGUAAAGCGCACGUAGGCGGAUUGUUAAGUCGGGGGUGAAAUCCCGGGGCUCAACCCCGGAACUGCCUUCGAUACUGGCAAUCUAGAGUCCGGAAGAGGUGAGUGGAAUUCCGAGUGUAGAGGUGAAAUUCGUAGAUAUUCGGAGGAACACCAGUGGCGAAGGCGGCUCACUGGUCCGGAACUGACGCUGAGGUGCGAAAGCGUGGGGAGCAAA